AGGUGGUGCAGGGGAGGGGAUCCGAGUUGGGAAGGGAGAGAGCCGAGCCUCGAGGCCAUUGGAGAUCCUCUCUGCCUUUGCUCUCUCUUAUUAGAGGAGCAACUCGUUGUUCGAGUUUGCUCGUUGCUUUCGCUUCUCGGAGUCCCGCAUGUAACGGAACGGAGGCGAGCGCGGAGAGUGGAAUGUGGCAGAGGAAAGUAACUCUUUGAUCUCAAUACCGCCACGCCGAACUCGAUCAGAUCCUCUCCUUAACAGUGUUUGAUAUAAUGUGCGUGUGAACUGUUAUUGUUCGGCGGUAACGUGGGCAAAAGGUUGGUAAAAGAAGACUCGGGUCAUCUCAUUCGAAGUGGGCUUUGAAUUAUUUAUUUACGUUGACUGCCGUCAAAAACCGCUGAUCCAACGGGCGAGAUCCGAGCCGCCGACUUCUCUUUACUGAGGCAAAAGAGUGAGCACCUCGUGGACACCGUCUGAGGGAAGAGCGAGCAAGGGAGCUCUCAUGUCAUCCCUCCUUGCCUCCAAGCUUCUUUCCGAGCCGUCGCCUUCCUCCUCCUCUCGGUCGUCCCUCUGCUUCUCCUCCCCCUCUCCUCCCUCUCUUCUCCCGCGCUCCGUCGCCUUUCCUUUUCCUAAGCGGAGAAGAUGCCGCUUGAGGCUCGUCCGGGCCCAAGAUUCCGACACCGUCGCUUCCGGCGGCGACCCCAAGCCCCAAUAUGGCAAUCUGGGCCGCUCUCGCUUUUAACUUGGACAUGAUGACUUCUCGAGGGGUUUCAUCUGUGACCUGUUCGUGGCAACUGAAGUUGAUUACCAGAAUUCUUGUCAUUUUUUUCUUGGCUACCUUGUGAUCACCAUGACUUUAACAUAGCAUACCUAAAGGUUGCAUUCUUCGGUGAUUUCUGGGUUUAGAAGAGUGAUUGUGUAUUUCCUUAUUUUGUGUAGGAUUCAAGAAUAGUGCAUCCUUGUAGAAAGUUUGAAGUGACUGGACUGCCUACGACAUUCCAUCUGAUCAAGUUAUUAGUUGCAGAUGUCAUGAAACUAUACUGUAAAAAAAUAAUAAGAGAGUACUCACUUUGCAUAAAUGACCCAAGAGGACUAAAUUAGGAUCAAUAUGCAAUAUUUGAAAGGUGGGGUGGGUGGGGUGGUGAAGGAAGAAGGAAGAGGUAGGCGGAGAAGAAACAGAAAGGUAUUAGUGAGUCACUGCCAUGCUUGUCUAUAUUUUUCAUGGCAAUUGCAUUGGUUUCCUGCCACUAUUUAUGUGUUUUUAUUAGGAGACCAUUCUGUUAGCCAAGGGCAAUCAUGUGGAUGUAUUACAUGUAUGCUUAAUCACACCUGCAUUGUUCUGAUCUUGAAUAUUAUCUGCCCAAGAACAGGAGGGAUGUUCUUUUGGAAUAUGUGAAAAAUGUUCAGCCAGAGUUCAUGGACUUAUUUAUGAAAAAAACACCACAACAGGUAAGUUAUGAUCUGA